rnacentral:rRNA from 1 species
AGUGAACGCUGGCGGUAGGCCUAACACAUGCAAGUCGAACGGCAGCACAGUAAGAGCUUGCUCUUACGGGUGGCGAGUGGCGGACGGGUGAGGAAUACAUCGGAAUCUACUUUUUCGUGGGGGAUAACGUAGGGAAACUUACGCUAAUACCGCAUACGACCUACGGGUGAAAGCAGGGGAUCUUCGGACCUUGCGCGAUUGAAUGAGCCGAUGUCGGAUUAGCUAGUUGGCGGGGUAAAGGCCCACCAAGGCGACGAUCCGUAGCUGGUCUGAGAGGAUGAUCAGCCACACUGGAACUGAGACACGGUCCAGACUCCUACGGGAGGCAGCAGUGGGGAAUAUUGGACAAUGGGCGCAAGCCGGAUCCAGCCAUACCGCGUGGGUGAAGAAGGCCUUCGGGUUGUAAAGCCCUUUUGUUGGGAAAGAAAAGCAGCAGGUUAAUACCCCGCUGUGCUGACGGUACCCAAAGAAUAAGCACCGGCUAACUUCGUG